rnacentral:lncRNA from 1 species
UCCGUUUAAAAGCUUCAAAACCGUAAACUCAUAAGACUUCGGCCACACCCACAAAGAUUUGAGAAGCAAUAAGAAGCUUGGUUAGUGUUUUUGGAGUCAAAUAUGAGUAGAUCUCGCAUUUAUGAUUGGGUAUAAGAUCUAGAACCGCAACCGGAUCUCAUAAGCUAAAGUAGAGUUUUUCCGUUUAAAAGCUUCAAAACCGUAAACUCAUAAGACUUCGGCCACACCCACAAAGAUUUGAGAAGCAAUAAGAAGCUUGGUUAGUGUUUUUGGAGUCAAAUAUGACUAG